GCGUGGGGAGCAAAUAGGAUUAGAUACCCUAGUAGUCCACGCUGUAAACGAUGAGCACUAAGUGUCGGGCAACCGGUGCUGAAGUUAACACAUUAAGUGCUCCGCCUGAGUAGUACGGUCGCAAGACUGAAACUCAAAGGAAUUGACGGGCACCCGCACAAGCGGUGGAGCAUGCCGUUUAAUUCGAAAAUACGCGAAGAACCUUACCAAGACUUGACAUCCCUGGCAAAGCUAUAGAAAUAUAGUGGAGGUUAUCCAGGUGACAGGUGGUGCAUGGUUGUCGUCAGCUCGUGUCGUGAGAUGUUCGGUUAAGUCCGCUAACGAGCGCAACCCUUGUCAUUAGUUACUAACAUUAAGUUGAGAACUCUAAUGAGACUGCCGAUACUAAAUCGGAGGAAGGUGGGGAUGACGUCAAAUCAUCAUGCCCCUUACGUCUUGGGCAACAGGCGUGCUACAAUGGCUGGUACAAUGAGCUGCAAACCCGCGAGGGGGAGCCAAUCUAAAAAGCCAGUCGUAGUUCGGAUUGAAGUCUGCAACUCGACUUCAUGAAGCUGAAAUCGCUAGUAAUCCUGGAUCAGAAUGCCAGGGUGAAUACGUUCUCGGGUGUUGUACACACCGCCCGUCAAGGCAUGGGAGUCGGUAAUAUCCGAAGUCGGUAGCCUAACCAGUAAUGGAGGGGGCCGCCUAAGAUAGGACCGGUGACUGGGCUUAAGUCGUAACAAGGUAUCCCUACCGGAAGGUGGGGAUG
rnacentral:rRNA from 1 species